ACCGCGAAAUAAAAACGUCAAGAGCAAAAACAAUUGCUGAGGUAAUUUAACUAGCUGGUAGUUCGCUUGAUGAUGGAUAACCCAUCAAUAAAAUAAGAGAUCAUUCAAGCAAUAUUUAAGAAACAGAAAUGUGUCUGUACCUAGGACGUAUAGGUACAGGUUCGACAAAGCUGGUAAGCUUAGACACCGACGUAUGUUUUCAUACUACAUACAACAGCCAAGGACUUUGCUGCCUGCAUAGGUAAUUUAUGUGGUAGCAACCGAACCUGUCUUUAUGUUUGAAUGGACAAAUCAUCACGGAGCUACAUAGCGGAAUUGUCUAGAUGACAGUCAUGGCGACAAAAGUCAAAAGAUGGCCCACCUACCCCAGUGCUGCCCAUGAGUUCUAUGACUUCAAGAAUAAACUGGGGAAAGCCCAAGUACCUGACGAUGCACCAGCUGAUGGACCUGAUGCAAAUGAGUCCUUCCCUCAGUGGAGACUGGGAGAUUAGAACGAGAUCCCUGAUGAAAAGUUAAAUUCCUCCUUGUAAUGCGGAGCAUCUGUUACCUUGGCACAGACCAUAGUUUUACUGAUGGUGUUUGUUGGUAUUACAGGACUGACACAAGAUGGUCUGCAGACUUUCCUCUAAAUUCUCCUGGUUAUUCUGCCUGAACAUUCGCACCAACUGUGGUCAAGAAUUCGUAACAAAGGCUCUUCUUAAGAAUGGAAAUUGUUUUACUUUGCCAUUAGAAGCACAACUAAAACAUUUACUGCAAACUUUGAAUUUAGGAGAACAACGUAAUUAUCCAAAGACCAGGUCUACUUGUUCAGAUACAAUUUCAGAUAUUUACAAAGAUAUGUGUGACACAACACAUUUGAAUGAAGAUUACUCCUUUAACUUUCAAUUCAGAUGGUGUACCUAUAUUCUCUUCCUCCAAUUUUUCUAUUUGGCCUUUGGUGUGUUAAUACCAUAUUUUAAUGUUGUUACUGGUUUUAUUGUUGAUUCUAUGCACUGCAUAUAUUUAGGAGUAGUUAGGCAGCUGUCACAUCUGUAGUUUGAUAGUGCGAACCACACAGAGCCUUGGUACAUAGGCACAAGAGUAUAGGAGAUAGACCGAGGAUUAAAACGAAUGCGUCCCCCAUCUAAUAUUACAAGGCUUCCUAGGUCUCUUUCAACCAGAGCCUACUGGAAAGGAUCUGAAUGGAGAGCUUUUAUUUUAUGCACCAAUUGUCUUAAAGUCUAUUCUUGCUAGCAAGUAUCUUGUACACUUGCUGUUGUUAUGCCAAGCUGUGUAUGUGUUACAGACAUCCUCGAUUACCCAACUAGAAAUAUUAUAUGCAUCUCAACUGCUAGACCCGUUUGUAAAGGACUUUGAGAUCUUGUAUGGUUUAAUUUACAUGUCAUACAAUGUGCAUAUGUUACUUCAUCUAAGUGAUUGCGUUCGAACCUGGAGAACCUUGUUGUGUUACAGUGCUUACAGCUUUGAAGGUUGCAAUGGUCGGUUCUUAAAACUAUUCAAUGGCACACAGGUGGCACCUCUACAAAUUGUCAUCAUUUCUUUUGCUCCAACAAGUUGAGCAUCUGGGCAAAAGUAAGAUUUUAAAUUCACCAGACUGUGUUAAAAUACGGUUUUAUUUUAUGAUGGAUGGCCACUCUACAAAAAAGUUGGACAACUCUGUUGUGUUUGGUAGUGGUACAUUUAAAGCACUUGAUCUAUAUGAAAAAUAUGCAGUGGGGAGACACCUAGGAUUCCUGGUUAAAGAGCAAGCUAUGUUUUAUCACAAAGCAGUGUUUUUUUCACAGAAAUUCCACAGUGUUGGAUAUAUACGGCAACAAUUGAGAGAUGACACUAGUAAGGAUUGCGGGUGACAAUGUUGGUCAAAUAGUAUCAUUUGUAAAUGUGUGUUCUUUGGAUGGUAAUGAACAUGCGGUGAGUCUCAUUAAAGUAGGCACACAAAAACCCCAAAUGUUCUUUCCUGUGCUCCAUGUUGAAACAAGAUGUGCAGUUAAACAUAUUAUGUCAGUGACUCCUGAGUUCAGCAAUCUAAUUGCAGUGGAACUUUUGGAAUUGUCAGAUAAGUUUAUGUACAACAAAGGAAAUGAGCAUGUCAUUUGCUUGCUUCCAAACAACUUUGAAAGAGACCAGAUUAUUCAAAUGUUCAUUGAUUUUAGUAGCUGAGCUGAAUAAUUAUAUUAGGAUUGACAUUUAAAAUUGUAAAAUUAUAGUAUAUAGUAGAUUUUUGUACUGAUACCUCCACAGAUAUUUGAAUGGUGACAGUUGUUACUUGAUGUGAGUGACCUUCACAUAAAUAAAUGCUACAUUCACUACAAGUCAUGUUAAAGCAUAUUGUCUGUAGUUUUAUUGAUUGGUUUUGCACAGGUUCGCAUGUUGGUACAACAUGUUGAAGAUCUGUUUCACAUUUUGCUGUACCUCAUGUUAUUCACAUGU